rnacentral:rRNA from 1 species
UCGAGAAUCAUUCGCAAUGGGCGCAAGCCUGACGAUGCGACGCCGUGUGUGCGAUGAAGGCCUUCGGGUUGUAAAGCACUUUCGCCUAAGAACAAGGAAGGUCGGCUAAUAUCCGGCCAACUUGAGUGUACUAGGUAAAGAAGCACCGGCUAACUCCGUGCCAGCAGCUGCGGUAAUACGGAGGGUGCAAGCAUUAAUCGGAUUUAUUGGGCGUAAAGGGCGCGUAGGCGGGAACGUAAGUCAGAUGUGAAAGCCCGGGGCUCAACCCCGGAACGGCAUUUGAAACUGCGUUUCUAGAGGGUAGGCGGAGAAAAUGGAAUUCCACAAGUAGCGGUGAAAUGCGUAGAUAUGUGGAAGAACACCAGUGGCGAAGGCGGUUUUCUAGCUUAUACCUGACGCUGAGGCGCGAAAGCAAGGGGAUCAAACAGG